rnacentral:rRNA from 1 species
CAGUUCGGAUUGGAGGCUGAAACCCGCCUCCAUGAAGUUGGAUUCGCUAGUAAUCGCGCAUCAGCCAUGGCGCGGUGAAUACGUUCCCGGGCCUUGCACACACCGCCCGUCAAGCCAUGGAAGCUGGGGGUGCCUGAAGUUCGUGACCGGAAGGAGCGACCUAGGGCAAAACCGGUGACUGGGGCUAAGUCGUAACAAGGUAAC